UUACGGUCAUAAUACGUUGAAACAGCGGUUUUCGUACGAUCACCGAAGUUAAGCAAAGUUGAACCUGAACGGUUACCUAGCUGGGUAACCGCUUGGGAAUACCAAGGGCUGUAAG